GACGAACCGUGCGAACGUUGUUCGGAGUCACUGGGCUUAAAGGGAGCGUAGGCGGGCUAUCAAGUCUGGGGUGAAAUCCCACGGCUCAACCGUGGAACUGCCUUAGAUACUGACGGCCUCGAGGGAGAUAGGGGCAUGCGGAACUGUAGGUGGAGCGGUGAAAUGCGUUGAUAUCUACAGGAACUCCGGUGGCGAAAGCGGCGUGCUGGAUCUCUUCUGACGCUGAGGCUCGAAAGCUAGGGGAGCAAACGGG
rnacentral:rRNA from 1 species